rnacentral:tRNA from 1 species
UUGGCAUAGCUCAGUUGGUGCAGCAUGAGACUCUUAAUCUCAGCGUCAUGGGUUUGUGCCCCACACUGGGCGAAA